AGGAUGAACGCUGGCGGCGUGCUUAACACAUGCAAGUCAUGGGGGCCCAGCAAUGGGCAACCGGCGAACGGGUGCGUAACACGUGAGCAACCUACCCAGGUGUGGGGGAUAGCCGUCCCAACGGACGGGUAAUACCGCAUACGCUCAACACGAGGCAUUUCGAGUUGAGGAAACCUUCGGGGCACCAUGAGGGGCUCGCGGCCUAUCAGCUAGUUGGCGAGGUAACGGCUCACCAAGGCUACGACGGGUAGCUGGUCUGAAACGGAUGACCAGCCACAUUGGGACUGAGAAACGGCCCAGACUCCUACGGGAGGCAGCAGUGGGAAUCUUGCGCAAUGGCCUAACGGCUGACGCAGCGACGCCGCGUGAGGGACUGACGCUCUUCGGAGUGUAAACCUCUUUUUGCCUGGAACGAACUAUCAAGCUUCAGCCUGAUUUGACGGUACCGGU
rnacentral:rRNA from 1 species